rnacentral:lncRNA from 1 species
GGUGGAGUUCGGUUAACAUUGUUUUGUUUUUGUUUUUUUUCCAAUUGUCAUGACAUUGCAGAAAUACUUCAGGAAGUGCUGUUUUCUUCUUGAAGUCCCUUCAUCUCGUUCUGCCUAUACAGUGGCUACAAGAACUUCCGCAAAACUUCUAUUGGAAGAUGGACCCCCGGAUGUAUUUCCUGACUCAUUAGAAACUAAUUUGUGUGAAAAUGAUUCAUCAAAUGCUGAACUGAAAACACUCUUUCCUGCUUGUUUCUAGAUAUUUGAAAAAGCUGAAUUUCACAACAGCCUUGUCAGAAUCAAGCCCAAAUCAGGUGACUUAAUGGAGUGUCUACUGAGUGAAGAAUUAGCAUUAACAUCCUGAAAGAAAAUAAGCACAAGUACAGAAACUGCUCCAGCACUUGAAGCCAUAUGACUAUAUAGAAUAGGCGUUUAGAAUUUAAUAUUAAUAAAUAUG